UACGUAGGGACCAAGCGUUGUCCGGAAUCAUUGGGCGUAAAGAGCGUGUAGGCGGCUUGUUAAGUCUUGCGUGAAAUCUCGGGGCUCAACCCCGAGCGGUCGUGAGAAACUGGCAGGCUAGAGUGCGGGAGAGGAGAGUGGAAUUCCUGGUGUAGCGGUGAAAUGCGCAGAUAUCAGGAGGAACACCAGCGGCGAAGGCGGCGCUCUGGGCCGGUACUGACGCUGAGGAGCGAAAGCGUGGGUAGCAAACAGG
rnacentral:rRNA from 1 species